rnacentral:tRNA from 1 species
CAGGACGUAGCUACAACAUCAAAGCAUUCAGCUUACACCUGAAAGAUAUCUGC